rnacentral:lncRNA from 1 species
UUCUUACAAUAGAAGCACUCUGCCUGACUUUGGUCAGUUUUGAACUUGGGCUUCUAGAUCUGACUCCCAGCACUUUGCACCUUCUUAUUAUUUUUUUCUUUCUUUUCUUAAAGGGAUGAUGCCCAUCGAAAGAAGAUCCUUCUAGUAUAUUCACCAUCUCCUUGUGGAGCUAGUGAUCUUUCUCAAAAGUUUGUAGCAACCCCAAC